CUAGCUACAGGCUUAACACAUGCAAGUCGAGGGGUAUCAGGAAGAAAGCUUGCUUUCUUUGCUGGCGACCGGCGCACGGGUGAGUAACACGUAUCCAACCUGCCCUUUACUCGGGGAUAGCCUUUCGAAAGAAAGAUUAAUACCCGAUGGCAUAAUGAUUCCGCAUGGUUUCAUUAUUAAAGGAUUCCGGUAAAGGAUGGGGAUGCGUUCCAUUAGGUUGUUGGUGAGGUAACGGCUCACCAAGCCUUCGAUGGAUAGGGGUUCUGAGAGGAAGGUCCCCCACAUUGGAACUGAGACACGGUCCAAACUCCUACGGGAGGCAGCAGUGAGGAAUAUUGGUCAAUGGGCGCUAGCCUGAACCAGCCAAGUAGCGUGAAGGAUGAAGGCUCUAUGGGUCGUAAACUUCUUUUAUAUAAGAAUAAAGUGCAGUAUGUAUACUGUUUUGUAUGUAUUAUAUGAAUAAGGAUCGGCUAACUCCGUGCCAGCAGCCGCGGUAAUACGGAGGAUCCGAGCGUUAUCCGGAUUUAUUGGGUUUAAAGGGAGCGUAGGUGGACUGGUAAGUCAGUUGUGAAAGUUUGCGGCUCAACCGUAAAAUUGCAGUUGAUACUGUCAGUCUUGAGUACAGUAGAGGUGGGCGGAAUUCGUGGUGUAGCGGUGAAAUGCUUAGAUAUCACGAAGAACUCCGAUUGCGAAGGCAGCUCACUGGACUGCAACUGACACUGAUGCUCGAAAGUGUGGGUAUCAAACAGGAUUAGAUACCCUGGUAGUCCACACAGUAAACGAUGAAUACUCGCUGUUUGCGAUAUACAGUAAGCGGCCAAGCGAAAGCAUUAAGUAUUCCACCUGGGGAGUACGCCGGCAACGGUGAAACUCAAAGGAAUUGACGGGGGCCCGCACAAGCGGAGGAACAUGUGGUUUAAUUCGAUGAUACGCGAGGAACCUUACCCGGGCUUAAAUUGCAGUGGAAUGAUGUGGAAACAUGUCAGUGAGCAAUCACCGCUGUGAAGGUGCUGCAUGGUUGUCGUCAGCUCGUGCCGUGAGGUGUCGGCUUAAGUGCCAUAACGAGCGCAACCCUUAUCUUUAGUUACUAACAGGUUAUGCUGAGGACUCUAGAGAGACUGCCGUCGUAAGAUGUGAGGAAGGUGGGGAUGACGUCAAAUCAGCACGGCCCUUACGUCCGGGGCUACACACGUGUUACAAUGGGGGGUACAGAAGGCAGCUAGCGGGUGACCGUAUGCUAAUCCCAAAAUCCUCUCUCAGUUCGGAUCGAAGUCUGCAACCCGACUUCGUGAAGCUGGAUUCGCUAGUAAUCGCGCAUCAGCCACGGCGCGGUGAAUACGUUCCCGGGCCUUGUACACACCGCCCGUCAAGCCAUGGGAGCCGGGGGUACAUGAAGUACGUAACCGCAAGGAUCGUCCUAGGGUAAAACUGAA
rnacentral:rRNA from 1 species